UGUCAACACAAGUCAGUUGUUGCUGUAUAUCCAUCGCUUCACUAAUAGAAAAUCAAUAUGAAAUUCUUCAACCUCUUCUUCGUUGUCAUCUUCGCCUUUGUGGCCCUUCAACAGACUGCCUAUGCCUGUAUUAAAAAUGGUAACGGUUGCCAACCUGACGGACGCCAAGGAAACUGUUGUUCAGGAUACUGCCACAAGCAACCUGGAUGGGUUGCUGGUUACUGCAGAAGGAGAUAAAAUGGAACUUUUUUAUAUGUAUAUUACUUAUGUGUUACCAAAUAUUUAAUCGCUUAUAAUAUGUACCAAAAUGAUAUUAAUAAAAAAAAGGCAAACAUAUUA